GCUCUUCCUCAGGUGGCCGCCAUGGCGGGACAGGAGGAUCCAGUGCAGCAAGAGAUUCACCAGGACUGGCCUAACCGGGAGUACAUUGAGAUAAUCACCAGCAACAUCAAGAAAAUCGCGGACUUUCUCAACUCGUUCAAUAUGUCUUGUCGUUCAAGACUUGCAACACUAAACGAGAAAUUGACAGCCCUUGAACGGAGAAUAGAGUACAUUGAAGCAUGGGUGACAAAAGGUGAGACACUCACCUAGAACAGUGACCUGCUGCUGCUGGGAAGUUGCUUUAUACAACACAGGCCACAUGGGAAAGGCCCCAGUAGCCUUCAGCUCCUUCCUUUCUCCUUAAAGAGCAACAGGGCUUAUUCUUGUUUUUCUUUUUUCAAAAGUGUGGCCUUUGGGCUCUGCCAUCUGGGCUGUGGUGUGUUAUGUGGGGAGAAGUCCAGAGGAACUGUUGGAAACGACAUUAGGCAUUUUACUUUUUCAGUAACAUUUUAUAGAUCUACUUGUCAAGGUAUUUGAGACAUUCACAGCCAAAACCCUGGGACUCUUUGUGAAGGUCCUCCCCGCCUCUAUCUUUCUUUCUCUCUCUCUCUCAAACUUUCCUUAAAGUUCUCAUUGCCUUUACACUGCUUCUGUGAACAGUCUUUAUCUCCUCACCACCUUUGGUGGGAAGUGGGGGGCAGUCCUGGCCAAGACACUCAUGCCCUGGCAAUGUGCCUGCCAGAGAAUGUUGUUGCAGACCCACCAGUUUCUUGUUGAUUUGGGGAGGUCAAGGCCAGGCCCCCACUUGGCUUGAAGGGACAUUUUUAGACUUUUCUUUCUGUCACUUGGGAGUGUCUAUGCCUCUCAUAUUUCC